GAUGAACGCUAGCGGCAGGCCUAAUACAUGCAAGUCGAGGGGUAGAGGUUGCUUGCAACCUUGAGACCGGCGCACGGGUGCGUAACGCGUAUGCAACCUACCUUCAUCAGGGGGAUAGCCCGGAGAAAUCCGGAUUAACACCGCAUAAAAUCACAGUACGGCAUCGUACAAUGAUCAAACAUUCAUGGGAUGGAGAUGGGCAUGCGUGCCAUUAGCUAGUUGGCGGGGUAACGGCCCACCAAGGCUUCGAUGGCUAGGGGAUCUGAGAGGAUGGCCCCCCACACUGGUACUGAGACACGGACCAGACUCCUACGGGAGGCAGCAGUAAGGAAUAUUGGUCAAUGGGCGCAAGCCUGAACCAGCCAUGCCGCGUGCAGGAAGACGGCCCUCCGGGUUGUAAACUGCUUUUAUUCGGGAAUAAACCUGUCUACGUGUAGACAGCUGAAUGUACCGAAGGAAUAAGGAUCGGCUAACUCCGUGCCAGCAGCCGCAGUAA
rnacentral:rRNA from 1 species